UACAGAGGUCCCAAGCGUUGUUCGGAUUCAUUGGGCGUAAAGGGUGCGUAGGCUGUGUCAUAAGUCGGAUGUGAAAUCCCGGGGCUCAACCCUGGAACUGCAUUCGAUACUGUAGUACUAGAGGACUCUAGAGGAAAUUGGAAUUCACGGUGUAGCAGUGAAAUGCGUAGAUAUCGUGAGGAAGACCAGUGGCGAAGGCGGAUUUCUGGAGAGUUCCUGACGCUGAGGCACGAAGGCCAGGGGAGCAAACGGG
rnacentral:rRNA from 1 species